rnacentral:sRNA from 1 species
UUCAGUAUAAAUAAAGAGCCAUACAUUAGAAAACUAUAAAUAUAGCUCUUUUAUAAAUUAUAUAAAUAAAUUUAGUCCCGAAU